UCCACGCCGUAAACGAUGUCAACUAACUGUUGGGACCUUCGAGGUCUUAGUGGUGGAGCUAACGUAUUAAGUUGACCGCCUGGGGAGUACGGCCGCAAGGCUAAAACUCAAAUGAAUUGACGGGGGCCCGCACAAGCGGUGGAGCAUGUGGUUUAAUUCGAUGCAACGCGAAGAACCUUACCUACCCUUGACAUCCUAAGAAUCUGUUAGAGAUAACUGAGUGCCCUCGGGAA
rnacentral:rRNA from 1 species